rnacentral:rRNA from 1 species
CACUUUCAGCCUUUUAUUGAAAGCACCUGGUGCUCAGUGUCAUAUAAACAGCCGCAAAUAUUUUGUGCUAAGGUAGCAUAAUAACCUGCCUUUUAAUUAGAGGAUCGCAUAAAAGGAGACACGCCUCAUAAAUUUUCUAAAAACUGCUUUUAAUUAACUUCACCUAAGAGUAAAAAGGCUCUUAUUUAAAAGAAGGACAACACAACCCUGACGAACUUAACACUAUUUAGCUGGGGCGGCUAACAGUUAAAAUCUUAGUAACCACCUAGAUAACGACCCAAUCAAUAUUGAAUUACAACAAAGUUGCCGCAGGGAUAACAGCGCUAUAGAAUUUCAGAGACCAUAUCCAAAAUUCUACCUCCGACCUCGAUGUUGAAUAAUUAAGCUAUACUAAGCAAAAAGAGUAUAAGGCAG